AGAGUUUGAUCCUGGCUCAGGAUGAACGCUGGCGGCGUGCCUAACACAUGCAAGUCGAACGGUCUCUUCGGAGAUAGUGGCGGACGGGUGAGUAACGCGUGAGAAUCUGCCUUUAGGUUCGGGACAACAGUUGGAAACGACUGCUAAUACCGAAUGUGUCGCAAGAUGAAAGAUUUAUUGCCUAAAGAUGAGCUCGCGUCCGAUUAGCUAGUUGGAGUGGUAAAAGCACACCAAGGCGACGAUCGGUAGCUGGUCUGAGAGGAUGAUCAGCCACAUUGGGACUGAGACACGGCCCAAACUCCUACGGGAGGCAGCAGUGGGGAAUUUUCCGCAAUGGGCGAAAGCCUGACGGAGCAACGCCGCGUGAGGGAGGAAGGCUCUUGGGUUGUAAACCUCUUUUCUCAAGGAAGAUUUCAGGCGGUACUUGAGGAAUCAGCAUCGGCUAACUCCGUGCCAGCAGCCGCGGUAAUACGGAGGAUGCAAGCGUUAUCCGGAAUAAUUGGGCGUAAAGCGUUCGUAGGUGGUUUUGUAAGUCUGCUGUUAAAGCGUGUAGCUCAACUACAUAUAGGCGGUGGAAACUACAAGACUUGAGUGCGUUCGGGGUAGAGGGAAUUCCUGGUGUAGCGGUGAAAUGCGUAGAGAUCAGGAAGAACACCGGUGGGGAAGGCGCUCUACUAGACCGCAACUGACACUGAGGGACGAAAGCUAGGGGAGCGAAUGGGAUUAGAUACCCCAGUAGUCCUAGCUGUAAACGAUGGAUACUAGGCGUUGUCUGUAUCGACCCGGACAGUGCCGUAGCUAACGCGUUAAGUAUCCCGCCUGGGGAGUACGCACGCAAGUGUGAAACUCAAAGGAAUUGACGGGGGCCCGCACAAGCGGUGGAGUAUGUGGUUUAAUUCGAUGCAACGCGAAGAACCUUACCAAGGCUUGACAUGUCCGGAAGUUCUGGGAAACUAGAAUGUGCCUUCGGGAACCGGAACACAGGUGGUGCAUGGCUGUCGUCAGCUCGUGUCGUGAGAUGUUGGGUUAAGUCCCGCAACGAGCGCAACCCUCGUCCUUAGUUGCCAGCACUUAGGGUGGGCACUUUAGGGAGACUGCCGGUGACAAACCGGAGGAAGGUGGGGAUGACGUCAAGUCAUCAUGCCCCUUACGUCUUGGGCUACACACGUACUACAAUGCUGUGGACAAAGAGCAGCCAACUAGCGAUAGUGCGCUAAUCUCAUAAACCAUGGCUCAGUUCAGAUUGCAGGCUGCAACUCGCCUGCAUGAAGUAGGAAUCGCUAGUAAUUGCAGGUCAGCAUACUGCAGUGAAUUCGUUCCCGGGCCUUGUACACACCGCCCGUCACACCAUGGAAGUUGGUCACGCCCGAAGUCGUUACCCUAACCGUUCGCGGAGGGGGAUGCCGAAGGUAGGACUGAUGACUGGGGUGAAGUCGUAACAAGGUAGCCGUACCGGAAGGUGUGGCUGGAUCACCUCCUUU
rnacentral:rRNA from 1 species